rnacentral:misc_RNA from 1 species
GAUGAAGAACGUAGCGAAAUGCGAUACGUAAUGUGAAUUGCAGAAUUCAGUGAAUCAUCGAGUCUUUGAACGCACAUUGCGCCCUUUGGUAUUCCGAAGGGCAUGCCUGUUCGAGCGUCAUUAUCACCCCUCAAGCCCUCGGCUUGGUGUUGGACGGUUUGGUGGAGGCCCCCUCGGGGGCUCCUGCCCCUCCCAAAGACAAUGACGGCGGCCUCGUUGGACCCCCGGUACACUGAGUUCUUCACGGGACACGUAUCGGACACAUGGGUUUACGGGACACGGUCUGCCUCCCCUCAGGGAGAAUCUUUCUAAGGUUGACCUGAUCAGGUAGGGAUACCCGCUGAACUUAAGCAUAUCAAUAAGCGGAGGA